GCCCUCUUGAGCUCUUGUGGUGACCUGGGAAUCAAUGUGUGAGGUGGUGCUAUGUAGCAGGAACCCCUCUUGCUUUGCAAAUAGUUUUUUGUUUGUUUUCCUUUUUGCCCAAUAGAGCCCUGCUCUACUGACCCUUCAAUGUGCCCGUGUGCCUAAAUAUUCCUGGUCGUGUGAAAAGAACCCAGGUAUUAGCUGAACUAAGGAGCACAAUUCUGCAACAUUUUGGCACCCAAACACGGGGCUUGAGAAAUGAAUGCAAUUGGAGAAACUGGUUGUUUUACCAGGCGUUGAUUGGAAAUGUGUGCUUCCCUUUAAGCAGUCAAGCUCAACUUGCAGAACUGAUGGGAACCCCUUGGGAAAACUGGCCUCAAAUGUUUGUCUACACAGUCCACAUACAGGGUUCUUAACCUGCGAUGAGGGAAACUUCCCAGGGCUUGUCUGGGUAUGCCCACAGUGGACUGGAGCCCAAAAUGCACACUGGAGGAAGUGGAUGGAGCCACGUGGAUGUCAUGCCUUAUGCAGGGGAGGAGCCUGCUCUCUUCAGCUCCUGUGGUAAUGUGGGAAUCGAUCUGUGAGGAAACACUUUCUGAAAAUGUCAGAACUCUUGAAAACAUGGAUGAGGAAAAGCAUAAGUACUGCUUUAUGCUUUUCUUAUGAAUUUUAAAAGAUGUAAUUUAAAGAUUGAAACUCCCACAACUUUGGCAGACCAACUCCUCAGAAAACAUUAUUCUUUGACAUCAAUAUGUUUUGCACAAAAUUGAAUGGCAAGUGAAAGGCAUCAAAUGGUGAGAAUCUAGAAAAUAGUGCAUGUACGGGAAGGCUUUGCUCAAUACAAAUCACUUGCAUGGGACAGUCUUCUUUAGUGAGUUUAUUAUAUACGGGAACAGAGAGGUAAUAUGAAAUGGAAUAUGGAAUAUGGCACUAGCAAGCACAAAUAUUCAAAUAUGUGGAGGAACAACUGGAUGUGAUAAAACACUAUAAAAAAAAUAGAGAGAAAAAUGACAGUAGGAAAAAGACUGUAUAUAUUUUUUGAGAAUAAAAGAUAGUUUCAUUUCAUUGGUGGACAUGAGAUGAGUUGAUGCAGCAUGCAGGUGGAUACCAUUUUUUUCAAAGAAAAUAUGAACAGAGUCUCAAAUAAAUAACAAAUGUUUAUAUGUGGGUUUCAAGGACAGAGAAUAAUAAAAUAACCAAAUAUACAUAAUGUUCCAGUAAAAUGAUCCAUCAGGGCUUACAGAAAGCGUAACUAGAGAGAGACAUUAACUUGCAGAUGAUUUGUUUCUGGCUAAUGUUGUGACAGGAGUGUAGCAUUUCCUUUCUUCUCAGUUUCCUAUCUCACUUACCUUUUGAAAAGACAUGAUUCCAUAUUAUAUUUAUUCUGUUUCUCUCUUUCUUUAUUCAUUUACCCUACUUUACUGAAAAAUCUCAAACAUCAUAGAAACAUGCAUGUCUUGGUUCUCCAAGUUUGAAAGGAAAAUAAUGUAGAAAGCUCUGUUUUUUUUGCCCUGGCAUUUAUAUACUCUCCAAUCUCACUACUCCCAUAUCACUCUUCUACCUCUCUUAGAGCAAAAUUGCCUCUUAAAAAAGGACAUUGCACCCAGCAUGGUGGCUCAUGCCUGUAAUCCCACAACUUUGGGAAAUUGCGCCAGUGCACUCCAGUCUGGGAGACAGAGCGAGACUCCAUCUAAAAAAAAAAAAAAAAAAAAAGUACAUUGCUGAUUCCAUUUCAGCAUCACUCAAUUACCAUUCUCUAACUGUCUCUGAUUUGUCUUUACCAAAAGCCACAUCUGGCAUAAUUGGCAAAAGACUUUUUUUUUUUCCCCACCAUUCCAAUGAACACAAAAAUGACAUUCUCAACAUCAAAUCAAAUGAUCACAUUUUUAUUCAUAUUUUACUCCAACUGAAAUGAAGGAUAUAACUAAUUUGUCCAUUUUUCUUUAAGCACAUAUCUGUAUUCAUUUUGAUAACCCAGCACUCUUGAUUGUUCCCUUACUGAAUGUUUGUCUCUUAGUAUCCUUUGCCCAUUCUACUCCUUUAAAAAAACUGUUGCAGUAACCAAAGAGUUAUUUUUGAUUCCACUUCUUUGUCAAACUAAAGUCAGCUCUUUGAGGCUUCUGGAUUUUGAUAUUAAAUAUGUGUUUAGCAGUUCAAAUUUUAUAUAUGUAUAUUCUAGCUCAGAUCCAGAAAUCUAUUUCCUUCUUAUCAUUCUCACUUGGAUUCCUCAAGCAAUUUAACAUGCUCUAAAUAUUUCUUCCAUGUUUAUUUAGGUUUCAACUCUACAUACAGAAUAGACUAAUUUAAUAAUUUUAUACAAUCCUUGGCCUUUUACUUUAUAUGAUCUUCUACAUCCAAUAGAAGGUUGUUCAGUUAAACCUUAAAAACCUAUCGCACACUUUUUAAUUCUCUGAAUUUUCAUCAACACCACGGUAGAAACCUCCUCAAUACAGAGUUUUGUAAUAAUUGCUCUUUAAAUUCCCACCAUGAUAUGUUACUAUAUAUUCUGCUCAGAAUGAAAAGGUUCACUAUAAAACAUGG
rnacentral:lncRNA from 1 species